rnacentral:rRNA from 1 species
AGAGUUUGAUCAUGGCUCAGGACGAACGCUGGCGGCGUGCCUAACACAUGCAAGUCGAACGGAAUAUAUGCUUUGAGUUUUUCGGAACGACGAGCAUAUCAUUUAGUGGCGGACGGGUGAGUAACACGUGAGUAAUCUGCCUUGCAAAGGGGGAUAACGGCUAGAAAUGGUCGCUAAUACCGCGUAAAAUAUAACUAACGCAUGUUAGAUAUAUCAAAGAUUUAUCGUUGCAAGAUGAGCUCGCGUCUGAUUAGAUAGUUGGUGGGGUAAAGGCCUACCAAGUCUGUGAUCAGUAGCCGAACUGAGAGGUUGAUUGGCCACAUUGGGACUGAGACACGGCCCAGACUCCUACGGGAGGCAGCAGUGGGGGAUAUUGCACAAUGGGGGAAACCCUGAUGCAGCAACGCCGCGUGAGGGAAGAAGGUUUUCGGAUUGUAAACCUCUGUCUUUGAGGAUGAUAAUGACAGUACUCAAAGAGGAAGCUCCGGCUAACUACGUGCCAGCAGCCGCGGUAAUACGUAGGGAGCGAGCGUUGUCCGGAAUUACUGGGUGUAAAGGGAGCGUAGGCGGAUUUGCAAGUUGAAUGUGAAAUUUAUGGGCUUAACCCAUAAACUGCGUUCAAAACUGUGAAUCUUGAGUGAAGUAGAGGCAAAUGGAAUUCCUAGUGUAGCGGUGGAAUGCAUAGAUAUUAGGAGGAACACCAGUGGCGAAAGCGAUUUGCUGGGCUUUAACUGACGCUGAGGCUCGAAAGCAUGGGGAGCAAACAGGAUUAGAUACCCUGGUAGUCCAUGCUGUAAACGAUGAUUACUAGGUGUGGGCGUGCAAGCGUCUGUGCCGGAGUUAACACAAUAAGUAAUCCACCUGGGGAGUACGACCGCAAGGUUAAAACUCAAAGGAAUUGACGGGGGUCCGCACAAGCAGUGGAGCAUGUGCCUUAAUUCGAUGCAACGCGAAGAACCUUACCAGGUUUUGACAUCCUGCUAACGAAGUGGAAACACAUUAGGUGCCUUUUGGAAAGCAGAGACAGGUGGUGCAUGGUUGUCGUCAGCUCGUGUCGUGAGAUGUUGGGUUAAGUCCCGCAACGAGCGCAACCCUUACUGAUAGUUGCUACGCGAGAGCACUCUAUCGGGACUGCCGCUGACAAGGCGGAGGAAGGUGGGGAUGACGUCAAAUCAUCAUGCCCUUUAUAACCUGGGCUAGACACGUGCUACAAUGGCCGUUGACAAUGGGAGGCGAAAUCGCGAGGUGGAGCGAAUCCCAAAAAGCGGUCUCAGUUCGGAUUGCAGGCUGCAACUCGCCUGUAUGAAGUAGGAAUUGCUAGUAAUCGCAAAUCAGAAUGUUGCGGUGAAUACGUUCCCGGGCCUUGUACACACCGCCCGUCACACCAUGAGAGUUAACAACACCCGAAGUCAGUGGUUUAACUGCAAGGAGAACGCUGCCUAAGGUGGGGUUGAUGAUUGGGGUGAAGUCGUAACAAGGUAGCCGUAUCGGAAGGUGCGGCUGGAUCACCUCCUU